rnacentral:lncRNA from 1 species
AUGCAUCCCCAAGAGUGAUCUCAUCAAAGCCUUCAACUUUCAUCACUUCCGCAUACAACGCAUUAACAUCAAGUUGAUUUUUGCUGAGACUUUGAAUUGCAAAUGCUACAUCUCCAAUCUGUUUAGACAACUUUUCAACACCAUCAUCUUCAUACAUGCGAUUUCUCUUCCUAUGUUGCCUCUUUUGUGUACUAGAGGAAGAUGUCUCUUUUCCCUUUGAAGUUUC